rnacentral:misc_RNA from 1 species
AUGCUAUACAUUCGAGAAGCACUAUCCACACCUUCUAAAUAUAGUUUCUUUGAAUUUUUGCUGACACAAUAUGAUACUAUCAAUGAAAACGAUUUGACAUCAUCACACACACUUCUCGUCAUCUCUUUAUCUAUAAUUCAGUUCUUGUGCUAAUAUUUGCCACGUUGAUCUACUAAAACUGAAAUUCGUUCCUCAAAUUUUUUCCAUUAUGUAGUGAGAUGAUGCGCUUACCUGUUUCUCACUAGGUUUUGCUUUACUCAAAAUGUUUUCAUCGGCAUU